GGUCAGUAUCAGUUUCCUUUUCUUUUAUGAAGGAAACAAGCGGUGAGAAAACAAAUAGAGAGUGCAAGUGUUAGAGGGUCAAGUAAACUAUUAGAUAGGCGUCAUAGUAUACACACACAAGCAGAUUUUGUAAUGGACUAAUGGGGGGUAAGGGUUUCUGUAAAUUCUGCGUGUUUUAAUGUGCGCGUGCAGAACACUGGAGUAACGUUCAUUCAGAUUCAAACACUGGAGCGGAGGGAGUUGCCAUGGAAACGGGGCGAUAGACAACACUAGCCAGCUGCACGCUCCGUGUUUCACUGCUGUUUUCACUGAUUUCGAAAUGGUUUAGGGUUUUCGAACAAGUCCGUUAGCAUCUUGACCGUUAUCAGAGGAGUGCUUGAUGGCCUUCUGCAUCCCAGAGUCUGUGCAAGCCUUCUUUCUAACAACAUCUCCAGGCACACUGAACCAUAUGACUAGCAGCGAACAAUACAUCGUGGACCAAAGAGGAAACUGACAACACAGAGACCGAAGAAGACAGAGAAGGUCACUUCUGAUCGCUGUAGUGCCUCAGUCCAGUGGAGUGAUUGGGAGUCCCACAGAGGAGAUCGGAACGAUAUAAAAGAGGAGUGAUGACAGUGAAGGACGAGAGAGGACCAGGCCUGGGCUUUAUUUUGUGUUUAAGUUUUGUUUGUGCGCGAGGGGCUGGCGCGAUGCUUUGUCUUUAUUUUAUUAUUAUAGCUUUGUUUGUCCGCCGGUUCCUGCCGCCUCUUUCCCGAGAUUGUGAAAUUUGUCUGCUGUUACAGUAAUAUUGUGACUUUAUUAAACGAUCCUCUACGAAAAUACAGUUUCACUGUGUUAUCGAUGUACUUUCAGGGAGGAACUUGUCAGCAAAUCUACUUCACAACACAUGUGAAAGCAGUUGACAGUUACAGACGUGUGUGUUGGAUCAGGGUCAGAUCUGAAUUCUGAUGGUUUUCUGGGAUGACCAUUGAAGAGAUCAGCACAUCAGAUGUUGGCCUGGACAGCUGUACCUACAGUACACCACGCUGACUUCUUUGCAUGGAUAGCUGACUAUAAUAUUUUUGGACUAUAAGUAGCACCUGAGUAUAAGUCGCAUCAGUCCAAAAAUACGUCAUGACGAGGAA